rnacentral:rRNA from 1 species
GACAAGAGUGCACUGCAUUUUCUUUUGUAGUCUCUUACUGCACAUGGCAAGCGAGUGAAAUGUGUCAAAAAUAAUGCAUCCAGACACAAAAAAAACUACACACCCAAACUGCUUUCCCUCUAGGACACAAAUCUGUACAAUUCGCUAUUGAACACAUCAAAUUCACAAGUGGUCUUCUAAACAAGAAUAUUUCCUUUCUUGUUUUUUGCCUCCAUAGUGGAUCAAAGAAGGAGUGCAGAAGGCAGUAGCACCUAUCUGAAAACUGCACUAGAGAUACAUCAGCAAUGAACUUCACCAGAGCACAUCUUUUGUAGGAAAAAAAUCAAACCGCACACUCAGCACCAACUGAGUUGAUUAUGGGGGCUUUUUUGCAAGCUGCACCCGCGCACACACACGUCGGUGUGGCCGUCAGAAUGCAAGAAACUGAACCUCAUCUUUUGGAGUAACACUGAUGUGAGCUGCGAGAAAACUGGAUUAAGCACUGCAAUUUUCAACACAAAAAAGAACUAAUAAAGAUCUGCACCCCAACAUUGCUCACUCGGGGAGGUUCAGCAGCAACAGCACAAGCGAACUGCUCACCAACGACACCGGUGGCGAUGCAGUUCAUCGAGGGGAGGUAGAUGGUCACGGCUGAAGCCGUGGGACUGACGCCGACAGAAGGUUGGUGGAAGAGGGGGUUCAGAGAGGGGGGACCAACUGAACUGCAGCACUCUUUCUAGGUGGAGGAAGUGCACUCGUCGGGGUCGAGGAAGAGCGCAACAACAAAAGAAAUCACGAAUCCUUGGCGGUUGAGCUCCGAGACGGCAUGGGACAUGCCGCUGGCUCACAGAUCCGGCAUCUCUGCAGGAGGUAGGGGAACGGAGAAGGCUGGGCCGCGAAGGUGCGGGCCCAAGCGGGACGACGGUGCGGGUCUCCUCCCCGCCUUGAACCACCACCACCCGUCCUCGCCCCCCGAGGCCACCAUCGCAUCCCUCCCCGGCACUGGACCCCGUGGAUGGACGGCGCGGCGGCGGCCUGUGGAGGGGACUAGGGGCACUGGCGGCCAGGGGAGCAGCGAAGUCCGGCGGCCUUGGAGGGGCGGCUAUAGGUGCGGCAGAGGCCAGAUCUGACGGGGCGCCAUGGCUGCUCUCGGGGACCCGAGGGUGGAGGCUGUGGGGCGGCGGCCGAUGUCGAUCCAGUGGCCGGCACGGUGGGGCGGGAGGUGAGGGCGGCGGUUGGAGGCCGGGGUAGGCGUGGGAGAGGGAGGCAGAGGAGGAUCCCCCCGAUCCGGUGUUGGUUGGGCCUGGCGUGGCCGGAGGUAGGUGGAUGGGCGGGGAGG